GAAACGAAAGCAUUCUAGCCUCUCGUUCUGUUCUUAUCCUCCCCUGCUCUGUAUCUCUCUCUCGUCUCCGAUUCCCCCUGCUCCUCCAUCUGCUACUCCGGCUCGUCGCCGUCGAAACCUGGCCGACCCUAGGUCGUGACAGAUGCCGUCUCUGCCGGUCGACGACGGAGAAACGGCCGCAGCCGAGGAGGACGGCCAUGGAGGGGAGGGCGCAGCCUCGAUCCGGAUGAGGGGAGCAGCGGCCGCACCCCUCUUCUUCCUGAGCAGCGGCCGGCGGCCUCGGCUUGGAGCUUCGCCCUCUUAUUCGCGCGCGGUGCAGCGGUGACCUGAGGGCGAGUUCGAGGCACAGUGGUGGUUCCAGCACACGACGCAGGGGGAUGCGGCGGUGCUUCCUUGCCUCAUCCUUCCGGCGCCAGAUGCACGCCCGACAUUGCCAUGGAGGCUCUGACCCCGACGCACCCUCCUGGUUCCUGGUUGCAUCUCCCCCUGUUUUUCAGGUUGUUGUGUGACAACUUUGCGGUGUGGAGCUGCGUGCAGACGGCGCUCAAGGCGGCCAACUCCGUCGUGGGGCUCGCCGGCAUGGACGUCAUCCUCUACGCGCUUUGGGUGCUCCGGGCCUGGUCCAAGCAGCACUCCGUCGUGGGGCUCGCCCAGUUGCUCACUGCUGGAUUUGCUGUUUUACCCCCCAUUUUUUUGCUGCCGCUCCGCAUUACUCCGACUGAAUUCGCGGCGAAAUCUGUCGCUCGGCUAGCUGACGCACCCACCGCCGACCGAAUUCCCACUGUACUGCCGGGGUAGCGCUGUCGCUGUCGUGCGUGGGGAAACCAGCACUGUACCAAGGUCAAGUGCACCGAGCUCAUCCAUUGUGGUUUAGAUCAGCUUUUGCCUUUCCUUGAAUGCUCUUGUUCAUAUUUAUGCAUGUUUCCUGAUUCCCCUUUUCUCAUCUGUGAUGUGAUGCUCAUACGAAAAGGAAGAGUAAGAAGAAAUCUAUGAAAGAUGAUAAAUUGGCAAUAGAAGAACAUGUAGGUGUAGAAGCUGGUUGAUGCUGGCAAUUGGACUCUUAUCUCAGAGUAAAUUAGCUUCAGAUAUCAUAAUAGUACACUGGUUCAGAAAUCAGAAUAACUACUAUCUGGGUGCAACUUGCUGGCAGGGCAGUUAAAUUAGAUAUCUCAUUUUUCAUUGUAUCUUGCUUAUUACUUUUACAAAUUAGUGUUCAAGACAACCUUCUGUUGUUUCAUUCCAGCAAGUAAGCUUACAGCCGAAGAUAGUUUAUCCAAUCCAAAUGGUGUAGGUCGAACAAAACUUAUGGCUGGGGUAAAAAUAUUUGUGGUGAUCAGCAUCUUCCUCUCGCUUCGCUGUUAAGAUGUCGACGCGGCGCUACGCACCGGAUGAUUUAUACUACUACCAUGUUUUUUAUGUUGGGUCUGAGAAACUAGAGAAUUCAUGCCUCUUUGCCAUGCCAAGGGUAUUCUAGGGAUUUCUUAUGAAUAUACUGUAUGUAAUAUGGGAUGGCUAUUUUGAUUAAGUGAUCAAUUUUUAUGCAGGUUUAUCUACACUCUUCUCAGCCUGGGAAUCAUCAUGUGCUUGCUGACCUGCUCGGGCCGCAUCGCCGCUGAAGCUGCAAACAGCCCCUGACUGUCUUGUCACGUGAUCUUUGUAUUCUUGCUUGUGAUACUGGAAGCUGCAAUCGCCGUCGAUGUAUUUCUGAAUAGCUACUGGGAGGAGGACAAAUCCCACCAGACUUGGCUCUAAUUGAAGUUAUCAUAAGACAGAUCCUUGCAGCGCAACACGCAGGGUGAACCAGAUGGCAUGGCGUUCAAACAAAGCCAUAUUUUUAUUUAGUCUACUAUAUAAUGUACUGCUAUCACUAUAUGGCAUAGAAGAACCCAUAUAAAUCUGUUAUCCUGGACUGCCAGUGGCUUGCUUUUUGGUGUAUCAGUGUAUUUUUGAACUGGAUGAAGAAAACCUACCACCAUAUGUAAUCGACUUGGUACUACGGUACCAUUGUCUAUGAGAUGCAUGUAUUCUGGUUGCUCC